UACGUAGGUGGCAAGCGUUGUCCGGAUUUACUGGGCGUAAAGCGCGCGCAGGCGGAUUGGUCAGUCCGGGGUGAAAUCUCACGGCUCAACUGUGAGCGGUCCCCGGAUACUGCCAGUCUCGAGGUGUCUAGAGGAGAGCGGAAUUCCCGGUGUAGUGGUGGAAUGCGUAGAUAUCAGGAGGAACACCGGUGGCGAAGGCGGGUCUCUGGGCCGAUACUGACGCUGAGGAGCGAAAGCGUGGGGAGCGAACAGG
rnacentral:rRNA from 1 species